GAUAAUAAAAGGACCAAAAAGGCCCUGUAAGCAAAUAUCUAUCAGAAUCCCUCCGUUAUUCGCUGUAAGUCUCCCAAAUUUCUCUCUGCACGAUCGAUCAGGGUUUUUGAUUUGGGCAAUCGAUUGAAAUUCGAAGAGUAGAAGAUGAUCGAGGUGGUUCUAAACGACCGUCUGGGGAAGAAGGUGAAGGUGAAGUGCAACGAGGAUGACACCAUCGGCGACCUGAAGAAGCUGGUGGCGGCUCAGACGGGCACCCGCUCCGACAAGAUUCGGAUUCAGAAGUGGUACAACGUCUACAAGGACCACAUCACUCUCAAGGACUACGAGAUUCAUGACGGCAUGGGCCUCGAGCUCUACUACAACUGAAGGUGUUGUGGUCUUAUUACAAUGCACUGGCGCUGGGAUUGGCGUUUAGUCUCUAUAAGAAGUGGCUGUAUGUAUUUCAAAGUGUAGAAUGGUGCAGAUUCUUGUGUUUCCUAAAACUAUUUGGCUACAUACAUACAAGUAUUAACCGCAUACACAUUUGUGUAACGGUGUUGCCAUGCAUUCAGUCUAGUAUUCAGUAAUGAUAGUCUGCGAUUGUCAUACGGUGAACCAGUGUGUGUGUGUGUGUGUAUUUAUGGGUGAACUGUCAAUUUAGCCUCUGAAUUAUCAUCUGAGUGAAAAUUAGGUCCCUAAACUAUUUUUUCAAAAAAAUCAGCCCAUGAAAUUAUAAAAAUCUGUCAAUUACAUUCCUAAUAUUAUAUUUGAAGCUAUUAUAUUUAAUUUUUGGU
rnacentral:sRNA from 1 species